rnacentral:rRNA from 1 species
UACGUAGGGGGCGAGCGUUAUCCGGAAUUAUUGGGCGUAAAGGGUUCGCAGGCGGCCUUGUAAGUCAGAUGUGAAAGACAGCGGCUUAACCGUUGUAAGCAUUUGAAACUGCAGGGCUUGAGUACAGGAGAGGAAAGCGGAAUUCCUAGUGUAGCGGUGAAAUGCGUAGAUAUUAGGAGGAACACCAGUGGCGAAGGCGGCUUUCUGAACUGAUACUGACGCUGAGGAACGAAAGCGUGGGGAGCAAACAGGAUUAGAUACCCUGGUAGUCCCU